GAUGAACGCUGGCGGCGCGCCUAACACAUGCAAGUCGAACGAUUAAAGCACCUUCGGGUGUGUAUAAAGUGGCGAACGGCUGAGUAACACGUGGGCAACCUGCCCCUCUCAUUGGGAUAGCCACGGGAAACCGUGGAUAAUACCGAAUACUUCGGGACUUCCGCAUGGAAGACUCGAGAAAGCUCCGGCGGAGAGGGAUGGGCCCGCGGCCUGUUAGCUUGUUGGUGGGGUAACGGCCUACCAAGGCAAUGAUGGGUAGCUGGGUUGAGAGACCGACCAGCCAGAUUGGGACUGGGACACGGCCCAGACUCCUACGGGAGGCAGCAGUGGGGAAUCUUGCACAAUGGGCGAAAGCCUGAUGCAGCGACGCCGCGUGCGGGAUGAAGGCCUUCGGGUUGUAAACCGCUUUCAGCAGGGACGAGGCGAAAGUGACGGUACCUGCAGAAGAAGCCCCGGCUAACUACGUGCCAGCAGCCGCGGUAAUACGUAGGGGGCAAGCGUUAUCCGGAUUCAUUGGGCGUAAAGCGCUCGUAGGCGGUCUGUUAGGUCGGGAGUUAAAUCCGGGGGCUCAACCCCCGUUCGCUCCCGAUACCGGCAGACUUGAGUUUGGUAGGGGAAGGUGGAAUUCCUAGUGUAGCGGUGGAAUGCGCAGAUAUUAGGAAGAACACCAGUGGCGAAGGCGGCCUUCUGGGCCAUAACUGACGCUGAGGAGCGAAAGCUAGGGGAGCAAACAGG
rnacentral:rRNA from 1 species